CCCCAAGAGGCACUGCUUUCCAGAAGGUUCCCCAACUCAGCAGUGCCUGGGGGCACAUCCAGCAGGCAGAAAGAUGCACAAGCCACUUUGAAAGAGAACAGUGCAUCGCACAGAGAAACAAUUAUAACAGGUCCACACAAAUGAAAAGGGGACAGUGACUAUAGUGAACAGUAAAACUGACUAUACAAGCAGUGCUGUCAAAUGUUCUCCAAAAAUACAGGAGAGACAGACUUGCCUGCCUAUGAAGGAUGUUCAAGUGGAAGUCCCUGUGGUCCUUUUCGAAAAGAGUAGAAGAUAACCUUGCUCCUGGACCAACAUUCCCACCCUCAGUGAUAUAGGUUCCUGUGCUGAAGGCUG